UACGGCGGUCAUAGCGAGGGGGAAACGCCCGGUCCCAUUCCGAACCCGGAAGCUAAGCCCCUCAGCGCCGAUGGUACUGCACUCGCCAGGGUGUGGGAGAGUAGGACGCCGCCGGACAUCAUUCAGCAAAGAGCCACCCCUUCGGGGGUGGCUCUUUCUGUUUCCCC
rnacentral:rRNA from 1 species